rnacentral:lncRNA from 1 species
ACUUCAAAUUGUUCCGAUUGCCCCACGGUGGGCGCCAAUUGUUGUGAAUUUGUCUUAAAAUCACACCAAUGAAAACUUGAUGUGUGGAGCAAUAGAACGACAACCAAAUAACAAGCGGAAUAAGCAAUAAUAAUAACAGAUAAACAAGAUAAAGGAGAAGAAAGAACACAAUAUUUGUUUACCCAGUUCGGUCCAAUAAUGACC